rnacentral:rRNA from 1 species
AGAGUUUGAUCCUGGCUCAGAGUGAACGCUGGCGGCAGGCCUAAUACAUGCAAGUCGAACGGCAGCACAGUGGAGCUUGCUCCAUGGGUGGCGAGUGGCGGACGGGUGAGGAAUACAUGGGAAUCUGCCCAGUCGUGGGGGAUAACGUAUGGAAACGUACGCUAAUACCGCAUGCGCCCUUUGGGGGAAAGUCGGGGACCGCAAGGCCUGACGCGAUUGGAUGAGCCCAUGUUCGAUUAGCUAGUUGGCGGGGUAACGGCCCACCAAGGCGACGAUCGAUAGCUGGUCUGAGAGGAUGAUCAGCCACACUGGAACUGAGACACGGUCCAGACUCCUACGGGAGGCAGCAGUAGGGAAUAUUGGACAAUGGGCGCAAGCCUGAUCCAGCCAUGCCGCGUGAGUGAAGAAGGCCCUCGGGUUGUAAAGCUCUUUUGUUGGGGAAGAAAAGCAGUUGGUUAAUACCCGAUUGUUCUGACGGUACCCAAAGAAUAAGCACCGGCUAACUUCGUGCCAGCAGCCGCGGUAAUACGAAGGGUGCAAGCGUUACUCGGAAUUACUGGGCGUAAAGCGUGCGUAGGUGGUUGUUUAAGUCUGAUGUGAAAGCCCUGGGCUCAACCUGGGAAUGGCAUUGGAUACUGGAUAGCUAGAGUGCGGUAGAGGGUAGUGGAAUUCCCGGUGUAGCAGUGAAAUGCGUAGAGAUCGGGAGGAACAUCCGUGGCGAAGGCGACUACCUGGGCCAGCACUGACACUGAGGCACGAAAGCGUGGGGAGCAAACAGGAUUAGAUACCCUGGUAGUCCACGCCCUAAACGAUGCGAACUGGAUGUUGGGCUCAACUUGGAGCUCAGUAUCGAAGCUAACGCGUUAAGUUCGCCGCCUGGGGAGUACGGUCCCAAGACUGAAACUCAAAGGAAUUGACGG